rnacentral:rRNA from 1 species
AGCAGCCGCGGUAAUUCCAGCUCCAAUAGCGUAUAUUAAAGUUGCUGCAGUUAAAAAGCUCGUAGUUGAAUUUCGGGAUCAAGUCGUCGGUCGUGCUCAGGUACGUACUGGCGUCAUUGAUUUCUCCCUUCUGACGAACCAUGAUGUCAUUAACUUGGUGUCAUGGGAAAUCAGGACUGUUACUUUGAAAAAUUAGAGUGUUUAAAGCAGGCUCACGCUUGAAUACAUUAGCAUGGAAUAAUGAAAUAGGACGUUCGAUCCUAUUUUGUUGGUUUUAGGAUCAACGUAAUGAUUAAUAGGGAUAGUUGGGGGCAUUAGUAUUCAAUUGUCAGAGGUGAAAUUCUUGGAUUUAUUGAAGACUAACUACUGCGAAAGCAUUUGCCAAGGAUGUUUUCAUUAAUCAAGAACGAAAGUUAGGGGAUCGAAGACGAUCAGAUACGUCGUAGUCUUAACCAUAAACUAUGCCGACUAGGGAUCGGAUGAUGUUAAUUUUUUAAUGACUCAGUUC